rnacentral:lncRNA from 1 species
ACGUAAGUACCCAAUUGAUAUAAAAAAUUUCAAUCACAAGCUACAGGGAGCAUGAGAUUACGGAAUAGUAAAAGCUUAAUUGGAAAUUACCAGAGAGUGGUUUAGGACGAGCAUGAGGUUUCAGCUGCUGCUUCAUUCACAGAUCUGAUGCUCUUAACAUUCCUCUUCUUCUUCAUCAUCUUCUUUUCGUUUCCUUGCUUCUUUCUCUUGUUCGAUCGCUCUUUCGGAUUGGCCACUGCUCGAGUACUACUAUCAUCUGAACUGAUGAUCUGGAGAGAGGUGAUACAGCAUUCCUGAAAUUUGAGAGCUUCGAUAUCGCAUACUAUCAUCUGAACUGAUGAUCUGGAGAGAGGUGAUACAACAUUCCUGCAAUUUGAGAGCUUCGAUAUCGCUUAUCACUUGAUCGAGAGUCAGGGAAGCUGACGAUGAGGAGAGUGUGGUUUGAUUCAGAGUCGAGCGAGAGAGAUCUAGCAGCUCCACU